rnacentral:rRNA from 1 species
GACUGUUUUACCAAAAACAUAGCCCUAGAAAAUAUCUAAGGUGUAACCUGCCCAGUGACCCUUAAACAACAUAAGACAAAAUCUUAUUAAUAGGUUUAAAAGGACGCGGUAACCUUGACCGUGAUAAUGUAGCGUAAUCACUCGCCAUUUAAUUGAUGGAUAGUAUGAAUGGUUGAACGAAUAUUCCACUGUCUUAGAAAGAAUUAAUAAAAAUUGAAAUAAUAGUUAAGAUGCUAUUUAAAACUGUAAGACGAAAAGACCCUAUAGAGCUUAACUAUAAACUUCUUAGACCUCAAAGAAAAAUAGUUCACAAAUUAAGAAGUUUGGUAGUUUAGUUGGGGCGACUAUCUUCUAAAAAUAACGAAGAUAAGCAAUAUUAAUGAUUAAUUUAUUGUAUAACAAAAAAGUUUAACAAUUAUUAAAAUAGGCUAUAAUGACCCGUUUUUACCUUAUAAAAAGAAAAACGAUCAAUUGAUAAAAGCUACCUUAGGGAUAACAGGAUAAUUUUAUUUUAGAGUUCCCAUCGAAAAUAAAGUUUGUCACCUCUAUGUUGAAUUAAGAUAUCCUGAUAAUGCAGAAGUUAUCAAAGGUAGGUCUGUUCGACCUUUAAAAUCUUACAUGAUUUG